rnacentral:Y_RNA from 1 species
GGUUAGUCCUAGUGCAGUGGUGUUUACAACUAAUUGAUCACAACCAGUUACAGAUUCCUUUGUUCCUUCUCCACUCCCACUGCUUCACUUGACCAGCCUUAA